AAUCAUCUUCUUCUUCUUCUUCUUCAUCUUUAUCAAUUUCUUUGACAACUAAAAGCACAUCUUAUCCUCAAUCUGCUACUACAUUUAAUCCUAACGUUCAAGGCCCUAUAGAUCGAUGCAUAAAUAAUGCUAGUUCUUUUUCAGGUGGCGGGUAUUGACAUGAUCAGGUAACAAACGCUCUUUUCCGAAUGAUUGCAGUAGAUAAUAUGCCAUUUUCUACUCCUGAAAGGACAGAAUUUAGAACAUUUGUAAAAAAGUUGCAACCGCUAUAUCAUUUACCAUGUGAGCCGAAUUUAACUUCAGCCAUGACUCGUAAAUACCAAGAAUUAUCAAAUAAAGUUAAAGUCGAGCUUCAACAAGCUGAAUCAGUUUGCCUCACAACAGAUAUCUGGACACAUCAACACACUAUGAAAAGCUAUUUAGGUUUGACGGUUCACUAUUUAAAAGGAAGUGAGAUGCAAACAAUUGAGUUAGGUGCUUAUCAUAUGGAGAAACGAAAAACAAUUGAAAAUUUGAGGCUGAAAUUAAGAAAAAUAUGCAAUGAAUGGGGUCUCGACAACAACAAAAUAGCAGAAUUCAUUUCAGAUGGUGGCUCUAACAUCAAAGGAGCUAUAAAAAAUGAAUUUGGUGAAGAAAAACAUAUUUCAUGUUUUGGCCACGUCAUUUAUAAUAUCGGACAGCGACUUAUUGAUAUCAAUGUAACUCCUCCAGCAUCUGAAUCUGACAAUAAAAUAAUCGAAUUACCUUUUAACGAAGAAGACACUAUUGACAAUCUCAAUGAUCUAAAUGCAGACAGUACUGUCGGGCAAUCAACGUUGCGUGAGCUUUUGUCAAAAGUUAAACAUAUUGUUACUUUUUUUCGCCACAGUGAAAGAGCUACGUCAGAUUUAUUAUCACUGUAAAAAGAAAUACCAAAUAUAUUUCGUCUUAAACUAAUCCAGGAAGUUAAAAACAGAUGGAACUCAUGUUAUAAGAUGGUGAAUCGUUUUAUAGUGCUUGCUGACUAUGUUAGUAAGGUACUCUUGCAAGUUAAGAUCGAUAAAUCUUCAAGAGCUAAGCCACCCAACAUGAUCACUGGAGAUGAAAUUGAUGCAUUAAUUGAAGUCCGAGAUAUUUUAAAACCUCUUUGGCAAGUUAACCAAGAAGUUUGCUCGGAAAAAUGUGUCACUUUAAGUAAAUCCAUUCCUUUGAUUUCAGGUCUC